GAACGAACGCUGCCGCCUUGCCUAACCCAUGCAAGUCGAACGAGACCUUCGGGUCUUGUGGCUCUCGGGUGCGUAACGCGUGGGAACCUGCCCUUAGGUUCGGAAUCACUCCCCGAAAGGGGUGCUAAUACCGGAUAAUGUCUUCGGACCAAAGAUUUAUCGCCUUUGGAUGGUCGCUCGUUGGAUUAGCUUGUUGGUAGGGUAAAAGCCUACCAAGGCGACGAUCCAUAGCUGGUCUGAGAGGAUGAUCAGCCACACUGGGGCUGAGACACGGCCCAGACUCCUACGGGAGGCAGCAGUGGGGAAUAUUGGACAAUGGGCGAAAGCCUGAUCCAGCAAUGCCGCGUGAGUGAUGAAGGCCUUAGGGUUGUAAAGCUCUUUUACCCGGGAUGAUAAUGACAGUACCGGGAGAAUAAGCUCCGGCUAACUCCGUG
rnacentral:rRNA from 1 species